UGGCAGUGGUUAUGUCAUGCCCUCUGUGGCAGUGGUUAUGUCAUGCCCUCGGUGGCAGUGGUUAUGUCAUGCCCUCUGUGGCAGUGGUUAUGUCAUGCCCUUGGUUGUAUUGGUUAUGUCAUGCCCUUGGUUGUAGUGGUUAUGUCAUGCCCUCGGUGGCAGUGGUUAUGUCAUGCCCUCAGUGGCAGUGGUUAUGUCAUACCCUCAGUGGCAGUGGUUAUGUCAUGCCCUUGG